rnacentral:lncRNA from 1 species
UUGCAAUCCUUACUAGCCUGAAGCUCUCAAUGUACCCUAUACUAGUCCAAUUCAGUGAUCCUCCUGCCUCAGCCUCCCCACUGCUGGGAUUAUAGGCAUGAACCACCCCACACACUUUGUAAAUCUUUUUUAAAAACAAACAAAAAAAAAAAAAAAAAAAAGAAAAAGAUUUUAU